AGGUGAAAGGGUAAGUGGCAGCAGCGUCCUAGGGCAGCUCCGGGCAGCGAUCAAAGUUCAGCUGGGCACUGGGCGGCCCGACGGCUGUGCCUUGGGUCUGCGAUGAAGCCACCCGCUCCUCCCCCCUCGGAGCCCUGGGAUGAUGAGAAAACAAUGUGAACGUCAGGCCAGCGCUGGGCCCUUGCAGGCGGAGGACAAGCCCGACCUAUCUGGCAGGAUCGGCAAGGCAGGGCGUGUGCCCGUGAACCCGGGGCAGGAAGGCUCUCCCCCUCCGAACCAGAACCUCACUCUGCAAAAAUGUUUGAUGGGGAGACUUCAAGGCGGAGGUCUGGGGCUGCGUUAGAAAUAAUAAGGCCACAGGGACGCAUCAAGGAAUGACCUGAGGCAGUUUAGAUACCAUCUCUAUUAUGGACCGGUCUCUUUAAUAAUGGACUUGGGAAGGGCAGGAAGAGACCAGUGCCUGAGGACGUCAGUGGAACAAUGCCACUCAGAGCAACAUCGUUUUCAACACUUCAACUCGCUUUUGGAGCAGGAAACAAUUCUUUAAGAUACUUACGGAAGCUUCCAGUCAGGAACACGAGGAUCUGAUUCAAAUAUCGCCAGCUUUCCUUCCCACUGCUGGAGGCACCAAAGGUGGUGACGUCACAGAGUCAGACAAGAGGAGAGGAUGAGAAGCCAGAACGAAGCUCCAAGACGGCAAAAUGCAGAGACAACUGCAGUGGGUUUCUAUCAAGGGAACGGAGCUCGCCCCCGAACAAUCCGCUUGCACAAACAGGAUGGGAGGCAGGAGAGGACUGACUUGGGAGAACAUUACCAGAGGCUGCUUAGUUACCCAGGAAGGGGUACUCAAGUCACUUUGCUAACUUCAGCUUCAUCAACAGAUGAGAUGCAAAGACGGGGCUGGUCACCUCUGCAAUUCCGUAUUCACUCUCCUACCCACUCCCCCAUCCAAGGAAAAUAGUGAUCUGAAACCCCACAUUCCAAGUCCUAAACUCGGGGAGUUCCACCGCGGCUUUAACGAACCCAACUAGAAUCCAUGAGGAUGCGGGUUCAAUCCCUGGCCCUGCUCAGUGGGUUAAGGAUCCAGCGUUGCCAUGAGCUGUGCUAUAGGUCGCAGAUGCAGCUCGGAUCUGAUGCGGCUGUGGCAUACACCAGCAGCUGUCGCCCUGAUUCAACCCCGAGCCUGGGAACGUCCAUGUGCCACAGGUGCGGCCCUAAAAAGCAAAAAAAAUAAAUUAAUUAAAAUAAAAAUU
rnacentral:lncRNA from 1 species